UUCCCUCUCUUUUUUUUUUAAUUGGCCACAAUUUUCCCUCUCGUUUAAUUGACACUCUCAUUUUCCCCCAAAUCACCCUCUCAUUUUCCCCAAAUGACCCUCUCUAACAUUUUCCACCAAAUUGAAUCCGAUCGGCCGACCAUUGCAUGCACUUGAGCUGGACUCCGAGAUUGGUGCACUUUCCUGUAUUGACAGAUUAAUUUAACUGGUGAAAUAGUAGGAGAAGUGAAAGCAGUUGCAAAUAUGCAUCAAAGGAAAGCAGAAAUGGAUAGGCACUCUGAUGCUUUUAUUGCUUUACCAGAUUGGGUUUGAGCCAAAACGACUGAGUUCUGUCGAUCCCGCGUCCUAUCCUAAGUGCAAAACGAAAUAUAUUUGUUUAACUUUUGGUAAUCGGAGCUAGUCCAAUCCACGGCCAUUACCUUAACAACAACAAAAAGCUUCUUCUGUCAGUAACUACAAUAUGGACAGUAAAAAUGUCAUUGUUUGCAACGACACCAGGGUAUUAUUAAUUCUCUUUCUCUUCUUGAAUUUCAUUUGGAAUCCAUUUUUUAACACAAUUGCUUUUAAUCUGUUGUAUUCCCCAACUGUAAAACCAAACUGAUCUUUAAUAGCAGAUUACAGGUUGGUGACUUUGAAUGUGUCAAUAUAUUACUUAUUUCUUAAUUACUCCCGGAUCAGCUAACUUGACUCCAUGCCCUCUUUUUUCCUUUACAUUAUUACACUACACUGUGUGAUAUCAAAGUUUUCUGAUUUUCUCCUAAAAUUUAGUUUAUUUUGUUUAGAUACAUUUCAUCCCUACACAAUAAAGUACAGUUUUGACUUAUAUAAAAAAAGAAAGAAAAACUUUGGUUUUUAGUAUGCCAUGAUCAAAUGUUUACCUAUUCUUGAAAAUUAAAUCCUUAACAAUCACUUCUCCUUCACAAGAUAUAAGCUUUAACUUUAAUUUCUCGUUAUGGAGAUCAUCAUCCACCAACUCAAGCAUGAUGCUCUUCCUUUCCUAGUGGAACCUGCUAUUCAGUAUCAAGUGAAAGAGUUUUUGUACCAAGCAUUUGCUUAACGUAACUAAUGAUUCUAGCUAUUUUCUUUCUUAUGUUUGUUUCUCUCUUUUAGACUUUUCUUUUGGGGCCAGUCAUGGUAGUCCUAAUACAUUUUUCUAAUCUAUUUUGAUAUAUAAAUGGACAGUAUAAUGUUGUGUGUCAAUUCUCAAUGUUUUAAUGAACUAAUGCAGUAUGUCAAGUGUGGCUUUGUGGGUGAGAAUUUUCCCACAUCUGUAUUCCCUUGUGUUGUAGGGAGGCCAAUGCUAAGAUAUGAAGAAUCCUUCAUCGAACAAGACUUGAAGCCAAGUGAUGCGGCUAGCGGACCCAUUUCGCCCAUGGAUACAAAGAGAUCACGUGAUGAUAAUGAUCCUAAUGACAUUCUUUGAUUUUGUUGCAUUUGUCUUGGAUAUUCAAUUAUGAUGAUGUAAUUGUAUGGUUGGAGUGAAUCUUAGAAUAUUGAAGGUUUUGUGUUUAAA